CAUUUACUCCCUUCGUCCCAAAAUUCUUGUCUUAGAUUUGUUUAGAUAUGAAUGUAUCUAGUCAAGUUUUAGUAUUUAGAUACAUCCAUUUCUAAACAAAGUUAAGGCAAGAACUUUGGGACGGAGGGAGUACUAU
rnacentral:pre_miRNA from 1 species